GAUGAACGCUGGCGGCGUGCUUAAUACAUGCAAGUAGAACGCUAAAGGCGGAGCUUGCUCUUCUGGAUGAGUUGCGAACGGGUGAGUAACGCGUAGGUAACCUGCCUUGUAGCGGGGGAUAACUAUUGGAAACGAUAGCUAAUACCGCAUGACAACAGCUAUUGCAUGAUAACUGUUUAAAAGGUUCAACUGCUCCACUACCAGAUGCACCUGCGGUGUAUUAGCUAGUUGUUGAGGUAUAGGCUCACGAAGGCGAGGAAACAUAGUAGACCUGAGAGGGUGAGCAGCCGGCCUGGGACGGAGACACGGCACAGAGGCAUACGGGAGGCAGCAGGAGGGAAUCUGCGGCAAGGGACGGAAGUCAGACCGAGAUACGCCGAGUGAGGGAGGAAGGAUUUCGGAUCGGAAAUCUCGGUCGUAGGAGAAGAACGAGUGUGAGAGUGGAAAGUUCAGAGUGUGACGGUAUCUGACAAGAAAGGAACGGCUAACUACGUG
rnacentral:rRNA from 1 species